GAGAAAUUACCUUAAUUCUUUAGUGGGUACUAGAAUCCACACAGACUACAUAUAGGCCCGAGGAAGACUCGAUCAACCCAUAUGCACCUAUGUGUAGGUUCUCAAUCAAUUGAUUCUCCAAACAACUUCUAGUAUUUAAUUUAGCCCCAGAUUUUAUUUUAGUAGGUGAUGAGCCUCCACUGAAAGUUUUGAUUAGGUCAAACCAUUAAUAUGAACCUACUUAGUGAUUCUACCUAAUUAGUGAUCAGGCCCGAGGAUGGCUCGGUCAAUCCAUCCAUUAUCAGAUAGUUCAUCAGAGUCAUCAUAUGAUGAAUGAUAAUUUCAUCAUUCAGAGAGAACAUCAAAUGGAUAGCACCUGCAAUGUCAAUCAGAAAUAAUGGAUCCAUUAUCACUCACCUUAAUAGGAGGCUAUGAUCUAGUUAUGAUCAUAACCAGCUCAUUUUAAAGACCUAAUAAUUUAGAAGAUUUAAUCGAUUUAGAGAAGAGAAAAGAGAAGAAAAGAUCAAUCAGUAGAUCGUAAUCUUCCCACUAACUUCACCAAAUCACUGAAUCGGUUUAAGUCCUGCUGAUUGAACUAGCACC
rnacentral:lncRNA from 1 species